AGUGGAUGGGGAGCAACCUAGUUGUGCGUGUGUAAAGGUAGUGCCAAGAAAAGCGGUGAUCAUGAUGAAAAUCAAUUCCCGGUACCCGAAACCGACACAGGUGGGCAAGUAGAGAAUACUAAGGGGCGCGAGGUAACUCUCUCCAAGGAACUCGGCAAAAUGACCCCGUAACUUAGGGAGAAGGGGUGCCACCGAGAGGUGGUCGCAGUGAAGAGGCCCAGGCGACUGUUUAGCAAAAACAUAGGUCUCUGCAAACUCGAAAGAGGAGGUAUAGGGGCUGACGCCUGCCCAGUGCCGGAAGGUUAAAGAAGUUGGUCAGUCUUAGGAUGAAGCUAGCGACUGAAGCCCCGGUGAACGGCGGCCGUAACUAUAACGGUCCUAAGGUAGCGAAAUUCCUUGUCGGGUAAGUUCCGACCCGCACGAAAGGCGUAACGAUCUGGGCGCUGUCUCGGAGAGAGGCUCGGCGAAAUAGGAUUGUCUGUGAAGAUACGGACUACCUGCAUUUGGACAGAAGGACCCUAUGAAGCUUUACUAUAGCUUGGAAUUGUGUUCGGGCUUCCUGUGCGCAGGAUAGGUGGGAGGCGUAGAAGGUAUUCUUGUGGGGAUACUGGAGCCAACGGUGAGAUACCACUCUCAGGAGGCUAGAAUUCUAACUUAAUUAAGGACAGUUUCAGGUGGGUAGUUUGACUGGGGCGGUCGCCUCCAAAAAGGUAACGGAGGCGUACAAAGGUUCCCUCAGACUGGUUGGAAAUCAGUCGAAGAGUGCAAAGGCAGAAGGGAGCUUGACUGCGAGAAGUACAGUUCGAGCAGGGUGGAAACACGGUCUUAGUGAUCCGACGGUGCUGUGUGGAAGGGCCGUCGCUCAACGGAUAAAAGUUACUCUAGGAUAACAGGCUGAUCUCCCCCAAGAGUUCACAUCGACGGGGAGGUUUGGCACCUCGAUGUCGGCUCAUCGCAACCUGGGGCGGAAGUACGUCCCAAGGGUUGGGCUGUUCGCCCAUUAAAGCGGUACGUGAGCUGGGUUCAGAACGUCGUGAGACAGUUCGGUCCAUAUCCGAUGUAGGCGUGAGAAUAUUGAGAGGAGCCUUCCUUAGUACGAGAGGACCGGGAAGGACGCACCGCUGGUGUACCUGUUAUGACGCCAAUUGUAAACGCAGGGUAGCCAAGUGCGGAGAGGAUAACCGCUGAAAGCAUCUAAGUGGGAAGCCCACCUCAAGAUGAGUAUUCUGGUGUAAGGUCACGGGAAGACGACCCGUAAAUAGGCACGAGGUGGAAGUGCAGAGAUGUAUGAAGCCGAAGUGUACUAAUAGACCGUCGGCUUGAC
rnacentral:rRNA from 1 species